CCUGAAGAGCAAUAGCUAAUCGAAUAAGAUCAAUAACCACUUCUUCAUUAGCUAAUUCAAUUGUAAUAAGAGCUAGAGAUGUAUACAGCAGCUCAAAGUUCUUUUGGACAUUGUCUUCUUCUUUACAGCCUAAGUAGAUGUGUCUGUAUAACUGCUGACCGUGCUUUUUCAUGAAGCUCACAUCUUGCCUUGAAAUUUUGUCUCGUUUUAUCUUUAGAUCAGAAACAUCUGGUAUUAU
rnacentral:lncRNA from 1 species